rnacentral:tRNA from 1 species
GGGGCUAUAGUGUAGCUUGGCUAUCAUCCGUGGUUUGGGGCCAUGAGACCCCGGUUCGAAUCCGGGUAGCCCCA